rnacentral:lncRNA from 1 species
ACCUUGGGAAAUCCGGACAACUCCCUCACAGCCCCUGUUGCCCUGUGAUCUGUAGGUCCUUGGGGACGCAUAGUUAAGGUGCU